UGUUUUCCCAUUCAAUUCUCAGCUCAUAGGUCACAACCGAAGCAGAGAAUCGGUCCGUCUCACUCACACUCGCUCGCGAUAUUUCGAACACCGAUUUCUUGCAUACAUUUCUGUCAGUGCUGGGCGUGUCGCUCGGCAACACCGUGUCGGGUUCGGUGGUCCUGAUCGUAACGACCUUAGUGGCACUGAUAACUGGGAUGCCGAUCUCUUCUUAUGGAAGAAAUCGUCGGAUCCGAGCAGGAAGGUGAGACCGGUAAUACUCAAAGGAUGUUACAGCUCUUUUCUUCUAACAAGUGACAACCAACAAUGGCUUCAAUGGCAGCGUCUUCUUCUAGCACCAUCUACACCAACCUCAAGUUUUGCACCAAAUCCAACAACAGCAACAGCAACUUGAACUGAAGGGAACUCAUGUUGACAAGCAAUGAAAUAGCAACCGUUGGUGCUAUCUUCAAUUUCAGAUAACCCCUUCUUUA